GCGGUCGCGGUGGAGAUGGAAUUCAUCUUACAAUGUUUAAAAACAUGUUUCAGUCCUAAUUAAGAUAUCCACCUCAUAAAUUAUCUUUUUCUAACUUAUCCAUGUGUGCCUAUGCAUUGGUGUAUUUUCAUCACCUUCUAUCCAACAACUAGUGGCGGAGCGAUCUAUUUGUGUACAUCGCAAGCACCAGAUAAUACUCGUUCAAGAUAGAGAGAGGAUCAUUGCAGCAUCGCCAAAAGUAGAAAAGCACAGCUACACCUGCACCUAAUUUAUGUGAUGGCCAUAUGGAAAGAAUGUAAUAGAAGAAUAUAUAUUUAGGCAAGCUUUUUUAUGAAAUAGCAUAUAUGCGUGCGCGCGCACACACAUGUCCACAUAUUGUACAUGACAUUCCACUCUAGCAUUCUUGACAUGCCCAAAAUAACUUCUAAAUCCGAGCCAAAAGAAAAUUUGUUAUAGCAUUUCAUCACCAAACGGAAGGGCAGCCUUGGCGCAGUGGUAAUGCUGCCGCCUUGUGACCAUGAUGUCACCAAACACUACAAAAUAAUGACAAGACAAUAAGAAAAUAUCUAAUUACAAUAAUUGCAAGAAAACACACUGAAAUAGUGUAUACUUUUUUUACUAUAUAAGAAAAUAAUUGUCUGUAAUUUAAUCCUUUAUUUCGUCCAGCGGAGACCUUGAUCAAGCUGAUCUAUCCUUACUUUUCGUUUCCGAAAGGAACUUAAGUAAAUAACAUUUGCGCCCUUGUCAAAUGUCGUAGAAACAUACUUACAUUUUCCUCUAUCAUAUACCUAGACACAUGCUUCACCUUGGAAGCAUGUAUGUCUUCAGAUCCACAAUCAUCCUCCAGCUUCCUUGUGGAGGGUUCUCUCUUAGGUGUCUGUAGCUUUGUACAUAUGCCUAUGUCCCCUGUACAAUUCUUGGGUGUUAGGAAAAACCUGCAGACGAGGUUAGUGGACCGCCUACCGAAGAAUCCCCAAUAAAGAAGCAAAAGGUUGAUGGUUGAUCUAACACCACAUAUUCUUCCAUGGUGAAGAAUGUGCUCGGGUAGAUGACAGAGGGGAAUGUCGGUCCCAGUUCUUGGAUAUUUGACAAAAAAGAUGAAGUCGUCAUCGACUUAAUUUCUUCUCCAGAGCAUGAAGGAUGGAUUGAUCAACUCGGCGAGUUCUCCUCUGGAUGAAAUGAUGUAUAAAGAAGAAUUCUAUGAACUUGCGUGCAGUUAUUGAACAUUGAUGUUUUUUAAUUGUCUUGGCAUGUUAAUUUCGUCUUGUUUGGUGAUGAAAUGGUAUUAAAAACCUUGUUUUCAUCGGGACAAACAAGUUACUUUUGAGAUGUCAAGAAUGUUAAAUUCUGGAAGGUAUGUACUCUCAUUGUUCGACAUGUUGUUUGUGCAUAUAUGCUUGGUACAUUUUUUUUGUUUUAGGCAGAGGAAUUGACAUCAUAAUUAUGGUAAGUGUCUGAUGCAUGUGAGGGUGUUUCUAUUUUGAAGCUAACUUACGAAUUAUUUAUUUUCUUUGUUGUUGUAUGCAGAAGCAAUGAACUUCUCAUAUUGUAGGCAUAAUUCUAUUUUUGAAAUAUUUCUUUCAAGUUGUGCCAUGUAGGGAUGUUUAUUUAUUACUAAUGUCUUGCAGUUGGUCGGAUACUGUUGUGCUCCUUUUGUGUACCAGUGCUUCCGUUUUAUUGGUGGGCUUUGUAAUAUUUAUAGCAACGUUGUCUAGAAUUAAGUAACCAUGUGUAUUUUCUGGAUCUAUGCUCACUUUAGCUUGUAAAUUCCUUCCACAACCAAGCGAAAGUGUUGUUGUUAUUUCUCCGGUACUUCUAGGGUGCUUUCUUAUCCCCUGAUGAAGAGGUUCACAUUUUAGGUAUGUAAUACACACGUAGAAGGUUUUACAACCAUAGUUUUGAUUACAUAGAGUGAUCACUUGAAUUACUUCCGAUGCAAAUUUUAAUAGCCUCUGGCAUAUCUUGGCUUGACCUUCAACUGGGUGGGGAGCUUUGUUAGGAUGGGCUGCUAUCGAAGGCAGCCUAGAUCCUGCAGUCAUCCUUUCACUGUAUACUGCUGGUAUAUGCAUAUCAGCAUUAAGGUUUGGAGAUUCGACAAAGUAAUGGAUCGGUGCCUUUGGUGCUGCAUCGAUUGGCAGCUUGGCGCUCAGUGGCUGGCCGCAAUUAAUGCUGAUCUUGGUUGGUGCUCCUUAUCAUAUUGCGUGUUCUAUGAAGAAUAAACUGCUUAUUAGCGAACCUGCGGAACCGUCUGUCUAAUGCUGCUGCUCGCGAGUUGGAUUGUGUGCUGUUGCUGUUGCAGGAUUUCCAGCAGGUGGACCGAUCCGACGAACGGUCCCUCACCCAUGGGCUGUCGUUCUCUGCCAAGAACGCCUACUCCUCCAUUGUUGCUGAGGAUUCCUUCGACCCUCACCAUGACUUUGUCGGGGCUUCCAAGGUUCCGAUCAAGGUCAAGAUCUUCGCAUGGCUUCUCCUCCGUGAUCGGCUAAACACAAAAGCCAACAUGUUUCACAAGCACAUUGCCCAAUCAGCAGCAUGCCCUCGUUGUCAAGACCCGAAUGAGGAUGCUCUCCAUCUCAUCUCCAACUGUUCUUAUGCGACACAGGUUUGGUCUUCCUUGGGUCUGCCGGCUCCAACCUCCCUUGCUGCUCUCCACCAACACCCAACGAUUCUGGGCCUCAACCCCAACAUCUGGCCAUCAGUGGCUCUGACUGUUUCAUGGAAGCUAUGGGAUUCGAGAAACGCUCUCGUGUUCAGAAACGAGGAUCACUCCCACAGAACUACGAUAAGAAAUAUUGUAGCAGAUUUCUCCCUCUGGGUUUUCCGGUUCAAAAAGAAAGAAGGCAAUAUCUCUGCUAGGCAAUGGCUUAACUUUCUCUCUUCAGCAAUCCCCUAAAGUUGAUGUUGUAACCGAACUGCUGCUGUAAUUCUCGACACCUCUUUUGAGUGGUAAUAUAUUCAGGUGGGGAAGCUCUCCCCCCCGGUGACCGUUCAAAAAAAACAUACUUUAAUCAUGUGGGAUAGGACAUCGUGGCCCUACUACCCUUUUCUGACAGCCGCAGCUUCACAGUUGGCAUGGUAGAUUUCAACCGUCGACUUAUCUGACCGCACAGAUUGCAACAGAAAGAAAGUAUGAUUCUUCAGAUUGAAACCAUGGAGAUUAGAACAAAUGGUUUGUCUCAAAUAAGUGGUUUCGAGCUCUGGUAUUUAGUGGAAAUUUGUUCAGGCAACUUGCAUCGUGAUACAUACAUGCAUACAUCAGCUUUUCAGCACAAACUAGUGCACUUGCCCUGCCCCAGCAACGACACCCUCUCAGACUCUAGCAGCAGCAACACAUCUCAAACUGCUACAUCUUCAAUGCCUGCCUGCACAAGCUAACAAGUUUAAACCUCCUGAAAACAAACAGAUUUGCAACUGUCGAUGUUGUACCAUCUUCAGUCCCAAAUCAACAUCUGCUGUCAGAGAGAGAUGAAGAGGGGCAAAAAGGGGAAGCGAUGCAUCUUCAGUGCCAACCUAUUCCUGUUUCACAUGUUAUUGUUGUCUAAGAUGAAAUUGUCCUGUUUUUAUGUUGCAAAUGUUGUCCCACGUCUAUGGAAAUGCCAGAAUAUUUGCUGUUACAUUGCUAUGAAAAUGCCAGAAAUAUUUUUGCUAUAUGUACAACAUUA